rnacentral:rRNA from 1 species
GACGAACGCUGGCGGCGUGCUUAACACAUGCAAGUCGAACGGAAAGGCCUGCUUUCCCUUGUGGAUUGCGGGUACUCGAGUGGCGAACGGGUGAGUAACACGUGAGUGAUCUGCCCCCAACUUGGGUAUAAGCCUGGGAAACUGGGUCUAAUUCCCGAUAGGACUGCAGGGUGGUGCCUGUGGUGGAAAACGAUUUUCUAGUGGUUGGGGAUGAGCUCGCGGCCUAUCAGCUUGUUGGUGGGGUAAUGGCCGACCAAGGCGGCGACGGGUAGCCGGCCUGGGAGGGUGGACGGCCACAUUGGGACUGGGAUACGGCCCAGACUCCUACGGGAGGCAGCAGGGGGGAAUAUUGCACAAUGGGCGGAAGCCUGAUGCAGCGACGCCGCGUGGGGGAUGACGGCCUUCGGGUUGUAAACUCCUUUCGACCGCGAGGAAGCCACCUGGUUGGAAGGGUGGUGACGGUAGUGGUAGAAGAAGCACCGGCUAACUACGUG